UACGAAGGGGGCUAGCGUUGUUCGGAUUUACUGGGCGUAAAGCGCACGUAGGCGGAUUGGUCAGUUAGGGGUGAAAUCCUGGAGCUCAACUCCAGAACUGCCUUUAAUACUGUCGAUCUGGAGUAUGGAAGAGGUGAGUGGAAUUCCGAGUGUAGAGGUGAAAUUCGUAGAUAUUCGGAGGAACACCAGUGGCGAAAGCGGCUACCUGGCCCAUUCUUGACGCUGAGGCGCGAAAGCUAGGGGAGCAAACGGG
rnacentral:rRNA from 1 species